ACGUACACUCCUACGGGAGGCAGCAGUGGGGAAUAUUGCACAAUGGGCGCAAGCCUGAUGCAGCCAUGCCGCGUGUAUGAAGAAGGCCUUCGGGUUGUAAAGUACUUUCAGCGGGGAGGAAGGCGAUAAGGUUAAUAACCUUGUCGAUUGACGUUACCCGCAGAAGAAGCACCGGCUAACUCCGUGCCAGCAGCCGCGGUAAUACGGAGGGUGCAAGCGUUAAUCGGAAUUACUGGGCGUAAAGCGCACGCAGGCGGUCUGUCAAGUCGGAUGUGAAAUCCCCGGGCUCAACCUGGGAACUGCAUUCGAAACUGGCAGGCUAUAGUCUUGUAGAGGGGGGUAGAAUUCCAGGUGUAGCGGUGAAAUGCGUAGAGAUCUGGAGGAAUACCGGUGGCGAAGGCGGCCCCCUGGACAAAGACUGACGCUCAGGUGCGAAAGCGUGGGGAGCAAACAGGAGUAGAUACCCGAGUAGUCCCA
rnacentral:rRNA from 1 species